UAGGAAGAGGGGAACUGGGUGCAGACACGAGGGAGAAGGCCGUGUGAAGGCGGAGGCGGGGACCGGGUGACACAUCUCCAAGCCGACGAGGGCCAAGGAUUGCCAGCAAAUACCAGAAGCUGGGAGAGGCCUGGAUUCGCCCUCAGAGCCACCAGAACCAACCCUGCAUGGCCGCCUGGAUUUCUGGCCUCCGGAACUGAGCGAGCUGACCUGGAUUGCUCACCGUCUCUUAGACGGUGUGUCAAGAGGAGACCAACAUGUUGCCUCACAGAGUCCUUAGGAGCCCCGCGCAGAGCCUCAUUUUUAACGCCGGAGAGACUUCUUUAUGGUGAAAUAUCGGCAUACGUAGAAGAAUGUGCAAAGAACCAAAAAAGCAGGGCUCCGUGAAGGAUCCCAAAGUCAGAUCUUGUGAAUCCUCUUACCCUGCCAUACCCCACAUCCUCCAGGAAGCCUUCCAGGGUUGCCCCAACCCUGUGCCUCCUCUGUCCUGUGCUCUCAGUGCCCUGAAUCCGUAUCUUGACUCCUAGUCCCCACUCUGUGUGUGGUAGAACAGGUAUGUAUUCACAGAAAUUCACAGAAAGCCUCAAGCUUUCUGGACGGCACUUUGUUUCCUUUCUUUCAAAGGUAAAUAUGCUCACACUCCCUGGCUGGGCACUCCCGUUCCUGGAAACUGUCCUCCAGAAAUGCUAUCCAGAGUGCUUUAAGAUGAAUGGACCAGAAUGUUCGUUCCAGUGCUGAGUGGAAGCACACAGCACUGCAAGUCGUCUAAACGUCUAUGGUGAGUAAUUCGGGCUUUGGAAGUCACGGCUACUCAGAUUUGCUAUCGUCCUGCAAAAGCAGCCAGGGGCAAUACGUGAGUGAGUGAGCAAGCCAGCCGCUGUGUUCCAAUAAAACUUUAUUCACAAAAGCGGGCGGCGGGCCGGAGCUGGAGCCUGCGGCCCCCAGCGCGGAAACAGAAAAGGGUCCUCACGGUCAGAGGAAGAGGAGGAGGCUGAGGGGCUGCCCACUCACCCCGGACGGGCGGCAAAACCAGGUUCUUGGCCGUCGCACGCGGCCCUUCCCAGGAUCGGAAUGGAUUCCAAAGACUGAUUUCGUGUCAGUUCAUUUUCGCGCGGCCUGACCCCGAAGAGCGGAGGGUCACCGGUAGCUGGAGACCCGGGGAGAGCCGGGGCUGGCCAUCCAGCUGGAGGAGCUUCUCCGACGACAGCCUGCCUGCUUCCUCAGCUCCGGGGCUCCUGCACACGCAGCCCCACGGCCCCCACGCACCCCUGCCUCUGCACCUGCUGUCUUUCUCCGAGAAGCUCGCAAGCGCGGUUGCCAAGGUCAGCUG